rnacentral:misc_RNA from 1 species
UGAACCUUCGGGGGUGGGACCCAAAUUGUGGCAUACUCUGCCACCUUUUGCCCUGCCCUGUCUGAACAUACCCAUGAUUUUGCGUACUAUUUGUUUCCUGGGUGGGCUUGCCUACCCACUGGACAUUUUAACACCUUUUGUAAUUGCAGUCAGCGUCAGAAAAAUAUAAUCGUUACAACUUUCAACAACGGAUCUCUUGGUUCU